rnacentral:rRNA from 1 species
GCUACUGCGGAGGGACAUUA